UUCAUCCAUUUGUUAGCCGUGCUCAACCCAAACAAGAUUGCUGCCGAUGUUAUUUUUCUUUAAAAACAAAAAACCUUUUUAUUUCAUCUUUCUUUGUUUAGCUUCCUUAGAAUUAAAAAAAAAAAACCCUUUCAUCUCUUCCUCUUUUGUUUCCUUCAUUGGGUGUUCGAUCAAUAUCCCAACCCAAAGUUUUAAGCUUCGGGUUAAUCCUACAAACCAGUAUGGUGUGUUGCUCAAUGAGCUUCGGUCGGGGUCUACUGGCUCUGUGACAGUGAUGAUUUGUCGAAAAUGGGACGUCAUGAAUAAGAGGGGGAUUACAUGAGUACCGACUUCAUCGUCUCUGAUGAACAGGCGAAUAUUAUGCACUGUUGUGCUAUGCAUAAUAUGGCAUUCAAGUUUGUUCACAGAUUGGAGGAAGGUAGUCUGUAUACGUUGUCUGAGUUUAAGGUCGUGCCUAAUAAGAAGGAUUUUCACAUUUUGAAUGAUAGUGCCUACAUGCUUGAAUUGAAUGGGUCUACGAAUGUCAGAAAGUCUACUGGUGAUGUGAAUAGAUUUGUGCGUCAUGCUUUUCAGAUAUGUUCAUUCGAGCGACUUGUGCCAACUGAUAACAAAUAUUUGGUUGAUGUCAUGGGUUAUACCAUGUAUGUUGGUGGACCGAUAACAAAGUCUACUGGCGCACCAACUAUUGAAUUUCUUCUGACCAACGAGAGUGGUCUACAGAUCCCUGUCACAUUGUGGGGCUUGACGAGUGAGGAGCUUACCAAAAAGAAAGGACCAAAGGCUGGGGCUUAUGUGUGCAUCCUUACUGCCAUGACUGCUAAAAAACACAACGGGGAACUAGGAGUUUCGAGUACAUCUUCAACUCAGAUUCUUAACGAUGAGAAUUUGCCACCUUUGAAAUUGUUCGAGGCUGCCCUUGGGUUGUAACUAUGUGUGCUAGGUCUAAUAGUUUACACUUUUUACUUGCAGUUCUGAAGAUCUUAGCACAAAGCCCACUGCACCUGUUGAUGUCGUCCCGACAGUUGACUCCCUUGCUGCCCUCUUAAGAUAGGGUCGUGAUAACAUGGGUGGGAAGGUUAAGAAUGAUGGGGUAAAGUGAUAUGUUUACCUAUUGAUCUUUACGUUCAUGAAAAUACAUAUGUGCAACAAUGGGUUAACUUUGUUUAUUUUCCAAAAAAAUAAGAGUGUAGUCUUCAAAAAUACGAUGGAAGUUGUCAAUAUCCGCACCAGGACAGGCUGGUAUCUGGUGACUUGCUCGAGUGGCCAUUGUCGGAAAGGACUCGCAAGGACCAGGGAAGGAUUCAAGUGUAAAGGCUGUGAUUCCACUGUCCUGUUCCCCCAUAUCAGGUACAAACUUCAUUUGGAGGUGAGGGACGACACAACGUUAAUCAUUGUGACUCUUUUUGAUGAACCAGCAGAACAGCUGGGGCAUAGGACGGCAAAGUCUCUGGUAGAAGAAGAACGACAGGGUCUUAUAUGGUUUUCCGUUACGAUAGUUGUGGCAUGUUUUUGAGAUUAAGGGGCAUACAUACUUCCAUUCGGGUGAGUAUGAAGGGUUUAAUUGUUCUGGGGUUACAUUGGCUGCUGUCAACAAUGUUGCUAUAGUCAGUGCUGGUAAUCGACCUACUGUUGGGAACACGAGGGAGGGUACAUCAUCCAGUGUGGACAAACCACCUGCCCCAAUACAUACU